rnacentral:rRNA from 1 species
CCUACGGGUGGCAGCAGUCGAGAAUCAUUCACAAUGGGGGAAACCCUGAUGGGACGACGCCGCGUGGGGGAAUGAAGGUCUUCGGAUUGUAAACCCCUGUCAUGGGGGAGCAAAUUAAAAAGAUAGUACCACAAGAGGAAGAGACGGCUAACGCUGGGCCAGCAGCCGCGGUAAUACAGAGGCCUCAAGCGUUGUUCGGAAUCACGGGGCGUAAAGCGUGCGUAGGCUGUUUCGUAAGUCGUGUGUGAAAGGCGCGGGCUCCACCCGCGGACGGCACAUGAUACUGCGAGACUAGAGUAAUGGAGGGGGAACCGGACUUCUCGGUGUAGCCGUGCAAUGCGUAGAUAUCGAGAGGACCACUCGUGGCGAAGGCGGGUUCCUGGACAUUAACUGACGCUGCGGCACGAAGGCCAGGGGAGCGACAGGGAUUAGAUACCCUGGUAGUC